CACGUAGGGUGCGAGCGUUGUCCGGAAUUAUUGGGCGUAAAGAGCUCGUAGGCGGUGUGUCGCGUCGGCCGUGAAAACCUGCAGCUUAACUGUGGGCUUGCGGUCGAUACGGGCAUCACUGGAGUUCGGCAGGGGAGACUGGAAUUCCUGGUGUAGCGGUGAAAUGCGCAGAUAUCAGGAGGAACACCGGUGGCGAAGGCGGGUCUCUGGGCCGUAACUGACGCUGAGGAGCGAAAGCAUGGGGAGCGAACAGG
rnacentral:rRNA from 1 species